rnacentral:rRNA from 1 species
GACGAACGCUGGCGGCGUGCUUAACACAUGCAAGUCGAGCGGUAAGGCCCUUUCGGGGGUACACGAGCGGCGAACGGGUGAGUAACACGUGGGUGACCUGCCCUUAGCUCUGGGAUAAGCCUGGGAAACUGGGUCUAAUACCGGAUAUGACUCCAUAACGCAUGUUGUGGGGUGGAAAGCCUUGUGCGGCUAGGGAUGGGCCCGCGGCCUAUCAGCUUGUUGGUGGGGUGAUGGCCACCAAGGCGACGACGGGUAGCCGGCCUGAGAGGGCGACCGGCCACACUGGGACUGAGACACGGCCCAGACUCCUACGGGAGGCAGCAGUGGGGAAUCUUGCGCAAUGGGCGAAAGCCUGACGCAGCGACGCCGCGUGGGGAUGACG